AUUAUGGCUCAGGAUGAACGCUAGCUACAGGCUUAACACAUGCAAGUCGAGGGGGCAGCAUGUUGGUUGCUUGCAACCAAUGAUGGCGACCGGCGCACGGGUGAGUAACGCGUAUCCAACCUUCCCCUUAGUAGAGGAUAGCCCGGCGAAAGUCGGAUUAAUACUCUAUGUUCUUCAAUGCGGACAUCUAAGUUGAAGCAAAGAUUUAUCGCUAAGGGAUGGGGAUGCGUCUGAUUAGGUUGCAGGCGGGGUAACGGCCCACCUGGCCUACGAUCAGUAGGGGUUCUGAGAGGAAGGUCCCCCACACUGGUACUGAGACACGGACCAGACUCCUACGGGAGGCAGCAGUGAGGAAUAUUGGUCAAUGGGCGCGAGCCUGAACCAGCCAAGUAGCGUGCAAGGACGACUGCCCUAUGGGUUGUAAACUGCUUUUAUCAGGGAAUAAAGUGAGGCACGCGUGCCUUUUUGUAUGUACCUGAUGAAUAAGGACCGGCUAAUUCCGUGCCAGCCGCUGC
rnacentral:rRNA from 1 species